AUUUGAUUUACAGUCUUUUCAGAUUGUUCACAUUGUUGCUGUGAUAUGUGGCACUUCCAGGAAGAGCAGUACUGCACCAGGAAGCUCGAUUAUGCCCCAGUGUUACAGCAUCACCUUUAGAGGAACUGGGCACAAAAAGUAAUGGCUGUGUGUUUCACUGUAAAGAUGUGGCAAGCAAUGUAAAUUGAGUAUUCUUGGCAGUUAACUUCUUCCUAAUAUUUAUGGGUCAGAUUGUCAGACAUGAACAGCAGGGUCAGCCAACUUCUUUUCUACAUGCCAAGAUCACACACCAACAAUUGAGAUGAGGACAGAAGCACUGGAAAAGCUAUUUAUCCACAAAUGGUAUUUCUUAGAUACCUAAGAAAUGUUAUUAAAUGAAGAUGCAUGCAGAAAUGGUGGAAUGGUGGAAACUAUUCUUACUGAUUCACUGAACAGGAAGGAAAAUAAAAUGUAAAGGCUGGAAAAGCUGAGGAGAAAAAAAAAAAAAUUGACUGUUUCUCAGGUGAAUAUGUUGAAGUUUAGAAGUUUAGAAGUUUCUUUUCAACAAAGCUCAUAUGGAAACUAAGCUCUGAUGGACUUCUGCCUGCCUGCUAGGUUUGCAACCAAAACUUUCCCAGUUUGCAAUCAUUUUUGAAGCUUUCAGUCCCCUUUGACUUCUUGGUCCUGCAUCGUGAAGAUACCUUGACAGUCAUCAAGCCCACUAGAAAGCUAGUGUGGGUGAAUGUGGAAACAUAAUGCCCAGAGUCAAAGGCUAAGAGUCUAACUUUUUCUAUCCCAAGAAAAUAGUUCCUUUCACAAGCUGAAACUGCUGUGGUAGCUCUUUCACUGAGCUACAUAAAUAUCUGAACUGG
rnacentral:lncRNA from 1 species